CAGGAACCGGUGAAACCCUGUCUCUACUAAGAAUACAAAAAAAAAAAUUAGCCGGAGGUGGUUGAGGGCUCCUGUAGUCCCAGCUACUCGGGAGGCUGAGGCAGAAGAAUCGCUUGAACCCCGGGAGGCGGAGGUUACAAUCUGUUUCUUAGAAGUGGACACGUGAACUCUUACACAGAUCAAGAGGAGCAGCUCUGUAAAUAUUUCCCUGAGUUUUUUCAGCCUGCGCCCAGAAAUGAACAAGGACAGCUUGGAGGUUAGAGGCAAGAUGGAGUCGUUUAAGUUGGACCUCUUUCACUGUCUCAGUCAUAAUUUUGCAAAGGCGGUUUCAGUUGCAGACAAAAGGAUCCGCAGGCUCCAGUGACUGUCUGCAUGGCGGGAGAAAACACAAGAAACUGGUUGGAGUAAAAAGAUUCCCCUUUUCAAGAUCGCCAAAAGUGGAACUGAUCGCUUUCGAAGGGACUCCUUCAGGAAGAAGGAGAAAAAUUCGAGAAACUUACCUGUUUCUCUCCCUGGAAUGCCUUCUGAACCCUGAGAUUUACUUUCCUCAAUAAAGAAGCUCGCCUCGCCCACCCAGCCCACUCUUCCUAGGAGCAGCGAGGAUCGCUGUCCCUCCAGCACAUACUAGUCAACUCGAGUCAUCUGAAUAUGGGCAUAUUGGGCACAUAUUUCUUUGUAAUGGUUCCUCUCCUAUUACAAUAUGUAUCUGUUGUUUCAUCGUUAGAUUGAAAGCUCUUUAAGAAUUAUGGUAACAGUGUUACAGCUCUUUCAGAAUUUGUUUAGCAGGUUUUCUGGUUUUCACAGGAAAAUAAAAUAAAAACAAUAAUUAUAAUAAUGGCUACCGUGUUUUGAAUGCUUGCUUUUAGGCUAUUAAGCACAG
rnacentral:lncRNA from 1 species